AGAGAGAGACAUGCGCGCAUAUCAAUAAGCGGAGGAAAAGAAACUAACAAGGAUUCCCCUAGUAACGGCGAGUGAAGCGGGAAGAGCUCAAAUUUGAAAUCUUAAAGGGUUUCCCUUUACGAAUUGUAGUUUAAGGAAGUGUUUUCUGUUGAGGUUUUGGUAAAAGUUCUUUGGAAUAGGACAUCAUAGAGGGUGAGAAUCCCGUAUUUGACCUUUACUUUCAACUUUGUGAUACACUUUCAAAGAGUCGGAUUGUUUGGGAAUGCAGUCCAAAAUGGGUGGUAAAUUUCAUCUAAAGCUAAAUAUUGGCGAGAGACCGAUAGCGAACAAGUACCGUGAGGGAAAGAUGAAAAGAACUUUGAAAAGAGAGUUAAACAGUACGUGAAAUUGUCAAAAGGGAAGCGUUUGACACCAGUGUUGUUUUUCUGAAAAUCAAUUAAAGAACUGUUUAUGCUAAGUUGUUUAGACUUUAUCAGCUAACUGUUUAGUUUUGAGCUUUUCUUUAAUGCACUUUUCAGUUAACAAGUCAACAUCAAUUUCUUUUGCUGUAAAAAAGCUUGAGGAAGGUGGCUUGAGAUUCGUCUUAAGUGUUUAUAGCCUCUUGCCUAUGCAGUCGGAGAGAUUGAGGUCUGCAGCGUAGAUCCUUCGGGGCUAAAUGCAUUUGCUGCUAAGUUAUAGCAUUUUAUAGACAACUUGUUGACUAUGAUUUGUCUUGUAGCUUACUCGCUUAUGUUAUUUUACCUACGCUUAGGAUGUUGACGCAUGAGAUAUACGC
rnacentral:rRNA from 1 species